UGUUAAAGUUUUAUUUUAUUAAAUUUUGUGCCAGUAUUUUUUUUUUUUUUUAAAAUAGUCUUAAGCUCUAAGAUGGUCUCAGUAUUGCAAUAUUGUGUGUGUUUGUUUCUGUUAUGCCAGCAGAGAGUUUUAUCACAGUGAGGAAAAAGAAAGAAAAGAAAAAAAAAAACAAACCCCAAAUUAGUUUAUGUAGACCCCACUGGAGAAGUGUAGCGCUACGACUCGGCAUCUCCGAAUCGUAUGUGAAGGAAAAUUAACUCCAAACUGGCUCCUAGUGAUGCUGGCUGGGUGUGCCGCUCUCGCUUCCAGUCCCACACGCUUUGCUCCGCCAUUUGCUGAUAAAGCUGGUUGAAAUUUUCGCUUUUUUUGUUGCUGUUAAAAAAGGGGCCUUGUUGUACGGCUGCGUUUUGUGCCCGAAACCUGUCGAGAUUUGCGGGGAAAAUGUCUUUUUGCGUUUUCCAAAUCACUUUUUUGCUCAAGAAACACUUCGGUGCUUUCAGAAAGUUUGGGUUGGUUUUUUUUUUGGAGGGGAAAGGGGAGAAAUUCCCACGUUUUGAAUGUGGUAAAUGGAAAAUAUAGAAGUCGACUGGGGGGAAAGAAACCAGGAAAAAAGUUGAAAAACCAAAGGGAAAUGUUUUUUCCUUCCUGUUUCGACCAGCUCUGUCUUUAUUGCUGUAUGUCUUAACCAGCCUGGGCACAUGCAGAAAGGAAAUUGUCCUUGCGAAUGGGUUCUUUACUGCUCUUUGUAAGCCUGAUCCUGCAAACCCUGUCAGGGUGUGAUUAACAUGAAGCAUAUGACCGGUGUUGCCGGGGUAGACGAGAGGUCUCAUGUGCUUGCCCGAGGCGGUUGCGGGAUCAGUCCCGGGGGGAGCUGCUCCGUCUGUCCUCCAAGCCUUUUGCAGCAUGGUUUACGUUCAGAGGGGUAAAUCCUGCUGCACCGAGCACUUCCCGGGAUGCUCUGAGCAGACCGAGGCUGACGACUGCCUUCGGGGUGGGCUCGGUGUGAGUUAGAGGGUCAGGCGGUGAGCGUUUCCAUAUCCAGAUACGACCCCGAAGCCGGAUCCGUGUGGAUCCGACUGCUGAAAUGGGGUCUUUCGCCCCUGAGAGCCACUGGGCGUUUUCUUUUUAAAGACAGUAUUACACAUUUGAACAAAAACUACCUUCUUUUUGUGUUGUUUGUCUGUCCGUCGGUGUGUUUUAGGUAGUUGCGUUCAUUACAGAGGCACUGUGAGAUGGUAGUGGCGGGGCAAGGUGGGGAGAAGCUUUCCAGAGAUGCUUGCUGGGCGAUGCCUGCCUGAUACAGGCUGACAUAUCGGGUCGGCAGGACAGGACUCUGGGUGCGAAGAGCCAAAAUAUUCGGGCACAUAACGCCCCCUGCGCAGGGGCAGCGUUGGACGGGGAGCUCGACCCCAGGGCAAGGUGAUGCUCAGAGGUGCUGGGCUCUCCUCCGCUUCCUCCGGAGCUGGGGGCACCCAGCACCUCUGUAUCCCCGGUUGGUCAUUUUGGGAUGAGUCAGCCCCAAAACUGCUGUGUGCUUAAAAAAAGGUGAUGGUGGAGGGGAAAUGAGCAGGCCAAGAGGGAGCUCCAGCCAAGGGGGAUGGAAGCAGAUGGUGGUUUAGGUAAGGGAGGUUAUUAGUUAUGCUGUUAGCUCAUGGGGCUGGGGCUGCGCAUGGAAAGAAAAGGGUGGGAUGGAUGGAAAGGAAGGAAAAGGGGAUGGAAGGAGGGUGGAAGGAGCAUGCACCAAAGGAGGAAAGGGACGCUGCCCGCUGGGAGGUUAAACUUCAGCUCAUCUCCUCAGGCAGACAGGGCAGAUGGGAGAAGGCAGCUUGGCCGAGCUGGGGAGAGGAAAGGAAAGCAUAGAUAUCGUGGACGAGGUCCCCCCACCGGCAAGGCACCGGGGUAGAGCUCUACCGCAGAGCCAAGGCUCGCCGCAGCCGCUGAGCGGGCUGAAAAGGGAGUCGAGCAAGAUGUGACGGCACAGCAAUGUGCAGGGGAGGAGUAGUCAAAGAGCAUCCCAACAGGACACACCGUAUGAGUUGGUUUUUUUAGGUAUUCGGGGUUGCUGUCUCGCAUGCAGCUGCAAAGCGCCCUUAGCUUACCCUUCGUGGGCCACUUCCAGCAGUGCUUUGAAAAAUCCCCCUUACACCCUUAGAAAGGGUGCUGCCAGGAGGCCAGGCGCCCCAUCUCCUGCCCUUGGCACCAUGCCGUGCCCCAGGACAUGUCUCCUGCUUUGCUUGGACGCUCCGCUGCAGCUGAAGUGCCUUUUUCAAGCAGAAAACGGGGACAAAAUUUCUCUCCGACGGAAGGAACCGCAGGUUCGGGUACCAACCCCAUCCUUCUGCCAGGCUAAAUCCCUCAUCCGCUCCGCCGUGCUUAUUUUUUCCAGGUUUCCAAGCCGAACCUGUGUGUUCCCAAUGAUUUUGGGAAGACGGUCUAAAGGUUAGAAAGGGCGAAUCGUGGAAAGCAGCUCUGUUUUUUGGAAGUAGCCCCCUGGCUGGAGCUUCUCCAUCAUUUCUCACGGCCGUUUGCAAUCCCAGCUCGCAGCCUGUGUGCACGUGCAGCAGCAAAAGGGCAGUACAGUCCUAGGGACAUCAGGUUCAUAAUUUUCUGUUUUCCUUUACUUCUUAUUCCCAAUCUAGAGACCAUCCCGGAGAGGGCUGUGUGCUGUUUAUACACUGGAAAUUUGCAGAUUUGUUUUUGUUUCUUUUUUUUUUUUUUCCCCUUUUUCUUUCUGCUUUUUAAUUGCAUGUUGACUUUUGGCGAGGGAUGUGCUGGAACCCAAACCCUCUGACCUCCUAUUCUUCGAGGCCACGAAAAUUUGGUUAACCCACGCACACGUGCUGGACCAGAAGGAUGGGUUUGAGAGGGACGAUGGAGAUCUGCCAGGGAUGGGGCUCGCUCCUGUGCUGGUUUCUCUGCGUGGGGGCGAGCUUCACCCUCGGUAGAUACACGUGGCUUUUGGAAACGGGGUAGUUUCGUCUUGUUUUGGAAUGUCUCAGGUGCGUUCGGUAAUUUUGGGAUAUUUUCUGUGUUCUGCUCGUGAUCUGCUGUUCUCCGUGCAGGGGCAUGUCCCCUUCGCCCCCGCCCCAGCAAAGCCUGAGCCCUACCUUGGGAGCUUAGCUCUUGCAAACAGCUUUCCAGGGCCUCGGCAGUCGAUAUUUGUGACCUCAGUAAAAGGAAAAAAAAAAAAAAAAAAAAGAUGAAAAAUGCAAGCACUUUUUCUGCUGCCUGUCUCUCUCCACCUCUGCGCGUAGGAUGACCAUAACCCAUGGACACUCGUGUGUGUGCAAGUGUAGAUCCAUUUUAUUUCCGCACGACCACCGUCCCGCUCCAGACGUGAUCGUUCAGGUGGAGAAACGGCCAAACAGGGCAAAAAAUAGAAGAUGCUGUAAGAUUUAACCUUCUCACGUCUUUCCAAACCAACUCCUCCUCCUCCAAAAAAAAAAAGGUCCCUGUAAGCACCGGUAAAUUCAGAUGCUGCGGGAAACGUCUCCAUCUUCUGACUCUUGCUCUUCUGGAGGGGUUUUCUGCGAGGCUUUAGGGCUUGGUUGCUUGCUCCUCGUUAACGUCGCAAAAUUCGGAUGCCUUGACGUGCUCUGCUCUCUGGUAGGGUCUAUAUAACAUCCGUGAGCUGUUGUCUACAUUCCAAAGAGGUUUAAAUAAAUGAUAAAUCUAUGUAUACAUCUAUGUUAUAAUGGAAUAUCUCCAGGAAUUUGCUGCCU